rnacentral:rRNA from 1 species
CCCGCUGAACUUAAGCAUAUCAAUAAGCGGAGGAAAAGAAACUAACAAGGAUUCCCCUAGUAACUGCGAGUGAAGAGGGAAAAGCUCAAAUUUAAAAUCUGGCUGUUCUUGUAAUAGUCCGAGUUGUAGUUUAGAGAAGUGUUAUCCGCGCUAGCCUGUGCAAAAGUUUCUUGGAAAAGAACAUCAUAGAGGGUGACAAUCCCGUCUUUGGCACAGAUUACUAGGGCUUUUGUGAUGCGCUCUCAACGAGUCGUGUUGUUUGGGAAUGCAGCACUAAAUGGGUGGUAAAUUCCAUCUAAAGCUAAAUAUUGGCGAGAGACCGAUAGCGAACAAGUACCGUGAGGGAAAGAUGAAAAGAACUUUGAAAAGAGAGUUAAACAGUACGUGAAAUUGUUGAAAGGGAAACGCUUGAAGUCAGUCAUAUCUAUCAGGGAUCAAGUUGCCUUUGGGUGACCGUACUUUCUGUUAGAUAGGUCAGCAUCAAUUUUGACUGUUGGAUAAAGGCCUAAGGAAUGUGGCAUCUUCGGAUGUGUUAUAGACUUUGGUCGGAUACAACGGUUGGGAUUGAGGAACUCAGUGUGCCUUUAUGGUUGGGGCUUUGCUCACAUCGCGCACUUAGGAUGCUGGCAUAAUGGCUUUAAUCGACCCGUCUUGAAACACGG